UUGGAGAAAGGUCUGAGUAUCGGCGUGUUAUCAGCUACUGGAUUUUCUUUAUUACUUCUCACCUCGUUCCUAUCUUGAGCUUUUGUGCAAAGCCUAGUUGAGGAUUUGGUCGCUAGCUCCUGUUUCCUCACGGAAUCUGGCGGAACAACGCGCUAACUCCUACUCUUAGCCGUCCGACUGGAGUGUACUACUAGUGUGUUCAAGACGGAGCAAGAACAAUGGCGACCCGUGUUGCGCAGGCCUGGAGACGCGUGUUUCUAUCGCUAAGUACAGGCGUGCCUGCUGCAGCGGUACUUGCUGUGGUGCGCGCGUGCGUGAGCCCUCUGAGAGGCGACCAGCCCUUGGUUUUGGAUCAUUCUGACACAGACAUUCUUAUUAUCCGGCCAUUGUCACUCGUCAUUCGGCGGAACCAGCAAAACUGGAAGGAUACCAGUAGUAGUGACGAAGAUGGCCACAGACCAAAAUGGCUGAUACGGUAACUAACCGACUUGAACUCUCUGUAAUGGCCACAGGUGAGCCGGCACCUGUUUAGCUGAACACGGAAGCCAAAGGCCGCGACCGCGAGCGGUGUGCGCCUUUUAGCCGCAACCGCUUAGUCCACGGUCUCCAGAGCGCAUUCAGACGGACCUUCCAGAGACUUCAUCAAGUGGACGAUAACAAUGAUCACUGGACGAAAGUUACGAUGCCAGAGCGGCGGCCAGUUGGGUGGCAACGUAUAACGGUGUUACGUUGUCAGCGCAGACAAAUUCAGUAGCCAGUGUAUGCCUGAGUAUGUGGUGUGAUGUGUGUGCAGAAAAAAUGAAAAGGACAAAAAGCGGGGAUUCACUGGCCAGAAAAAGCCACUUCAUAGCUGUGUGGCGUAGACCAGGCUGAAUAGUGGCGGUCGUUAGCCUUGCAAGCUGUUGAAUGGUGCAAUUCCAGCACAAGUUGCUAUGGCUUCUGCUGUAGCAACUCUAUCAUCGCCUCCGGCGUUGGACGUCAAAAGGAGCGUGUGUGUGUAUUGUCAGUGAAGGUCAUUGCCAUUUCUAUUGUCUUCACGCUGAACCAUUGCAGGUUUAUCUCAUGUUCUCGCCAUGUAUCAUCUCACUUCUCUGGACUUCAAUGCCAUAAUUAUUACUGGUGAUGCUAACUCUCUCUCUCUCUUGAAGAGAUUUCAUGGGAAAAUAUGUACGUGCAUGUAUGUGUGUAUACGUGAUUGUGUUCUUCGAAGAAAGUUCUGUUGUAAAUUUCGUAUUUCGUACUUCAAUCAUUCCUAUGUAUACUAACCAUUCCGUGGUUGUGGUGGUGGAAGGUGAUACUUCAAAAAGAGGUGAUACAAUUUCAGGCCAAAACGCAUUGUGUGUUGCCUGCAAGCCUGCUGAAUGUAUGUCUCCCAAGUAAACUGAAUUCUAUUUUUGUUGUGUUGAAUUCUUACUGUGAUCGCUGCUUCUCUCACCCACCUCUUACUGACAGGGGAGUUGGCCUAUUGGAGCUUGCACAUUAUUGUGAAUCUGAUGAAGGCAAUUUGCCGAAACCUUGUAAUAAUGAUUGUGAAAUGAGUUGAAUUAUGUUAAUGGAAAGAGCGUGUGCAGGAAGCCUCCCCACUUUUACUAUUAAUUCUUUAUUGCGAUGACAUAUGAAAUGCCACGUAUUGCUGCCCAGCUCUUCU